rnacentral:rRNA from 1 species
UACGUAGGGGGCGAGCGUUGUCCGGAUUCAUUGGGCGUAAAGAGCUCGUAGGCGGUUCAGUAAGUCGGGUGUGAAAGCUCCGAGCUCAACUCGGAGAGGCCACCCGAUACUGCUGUGACUUGAGUCCAGUAGAGGAGCGUGGAACUCCUGGUGUAGCGGUGAAAUGCGCAGAUAUCAGGAAGAACACCGGUAGCGAAGGCGGCGCUCUGGGCUGGAACUGACGCUGAGGAGCGAAAGCGUGGGUAGCAAACAGG